UCCAGGAGCAAGGAUCCCAAGGGAUCCAGGUAGAAGAUUUACUGCCUUUUAUGGUUUAGCCACAGAAGUUAUGUAGGACCACUUUUGCCUUGGUUGCAAGUUUGUCUCGAUUCACAGUGGAACAAUAACCUCACCACUUGAUGGAAGGAAUGUUAAAGUCACAUUAGAACUUCAACACAUUAAUCAGGCAGUCACCUCACAUCUUGGUUGAGAAGAGACGACACAUCAGCAAAGAGAAUAUGCAUAUUUCAACUGGAAGGAUCCACAGUACUGCUCACUUGAUGUUUAUGUAAUUAUCAUGAAUUUCAAAUUAAUGUCAUCUGAAUAAAUGGGGUCACACAUUAAA